UUAGUAAUAGUCUUCAAGAUGUAUAUAUGGUUUAUGUAAAUCCACUUUAAAAGAAGUGUACUUAAUGGAGCUCCCCUGUUAGUUAUUCAUUAUAAAACGUGUUUUUACAGCACAAUCACAAAUAUGCUAUAUUAUGUAAGUAACAAACAGGGUUUAGAUUAAGCCAGGAUCAGGCCAUAGCUCAAUUAGUCUUGUCUGUGAAACCGGAGGAUAGCGUCUUUACACCUUUUGCUUAUAUGUUGCUGACUUUACACCUUAGUUUUAAUAGAUUAUUAACUCCAAAAUCAAUACCACUGUAUGAAAAUAACUUGUACUCUUAAAUUUAAAUAAUUAUUUAGUGAAAAAAUAUAUUCUCACCAUUGUAAGUCAUUGUAACUUCUUUCCAGUUUAACGGCGGUUGGCAUCCAGCUUAUUGGUGCAAUACCGCCCUCUUCUGUCCCGGAGUGUGGAUCAGAUAAUAGGUUUUCCUACUAAAGGUACGCAUCACUCACAUUGUCCCCUACCAUUAAUAUCUACACACACCUUAUGCAUCAAAUCCUGCCUAAAACCCCUGCUUUCCUUAAAAAACGUAAUCAAUAUUCUACUCUGUGCCCUACUGAAAGCAGCCAACAACUUAUCAUUUUGACAUCUCGCGUGAUUCUGUGAGAUUUCGACAACUUCAAGUUACGCCUCCUACUUCAAGUUACGCCUCUUUCAAGUUACGCCCCUGUCUUGCAGUCUGCAGACGUACACGCUUGCGCGUGCGCCUUUUGGUGUGCGCGCGCAAGGCCAUCUGAAAUAUUUUUUUCACAGACGCCAUUUUCUUUGCUCGCGAUGCGGCUCAUAUGAAGAAUAUGAUAAUAUCAUAUCGUUUUAUAACGACAUUUAUUUGCUGUGUGCACAUAAACGUCUCUCAAGGACAUUUCCUUUCACUCGCAAUGCGGAACAGACGAGGACGUAAUUCUCUCCAAAACUUUUUUCUCAAGAGAGAUAUUUUCUUCCACUCACAAUGGGGAGAAUACGGGGAAUCUGUUUCUUAUCAAAGGAAAACACCACAAAUUUGAAUCGCUGUGCAGCGCAGACCAUGGUGCAGACGCGGGUUAACAGUUACUUAGAGAAGGGAGAGACCAGAAGUAAGUGUUUUACCUCAUUUAAAAUAUCUAUUUUAUCAAAUCAUAUUGAUUUAUAGCGACAUUAAUAUGUUGUGGGCUCCUACACUUUCCUCAGAGAGAUAUUUUCUUUCACUCGCGAAGCGGAGCAGACGAGGAAGUUGGUUUUAACAAGGAAAACACCGAAAGUAAGUGUUUUACUUCAUUUACUAUAAAAUAAUAAUAUUUAGUAAUGAUAUUUGUAUGCUGUGCGUGCCUAGACGAUCUGAAACGUUUCUGACAGAUUAAAUUUGAUGUCAAAUCAAACCACUGUAAACGGCCCAAAUCUAAAAUAGCAAUAUCAGUAACGUUAACUGUUUCGUGCAUGUCUCGUGAACAAAUUUCGUCAUUAUAUUAAGCAUACAUUUAAUGAGUUUUCAUAAUGUUGAUGUGUCAAUAUAUUGGAUUAGAGUUAUCUUUCCAUAUAACAGUUAUAUGUAUGCAUGUGUAUGUUUCAUAUUUCAUAUAUUUUCAUAUAUAUUAAUUUGUAUAUAUUUGAAAAUAAGUUUUCAGUAUACUCAAACUCUCUAUACUGCAUGAGUUAAAUUGUUCACCAUUCAAAGUGAAUAUGUGACCUCACAAGACUUGGAAUAUGACACAUGGGUAGCAUGAACUACAGAUUAGAUAUGAUUUUUUUGGUAUGCUUGGACUGUCCUUUAUUCAUGUGCUGUCCCAUUUAUGUGCAUUCAUUUUGAUAGACAGAGCCCUGCCUCAGCGCAGUGAGAUCAGCAUGGAAUUCAGGAAUCACAACCUAUUUUCCAGUAAGUCAGACUUUCUUUUUACAACAAAAAUAUAUACUUUUACAGUGAGUUAAAUGCUUUUACUUGAAGGGUUAUAGUUUACCCAAAAAUUUAAAUAAUCAUCUACUCACCCUUGAAUUUUGUCUUAUGUCAUAUCACAAAAGGAAAUUUAAAUAAAAUAGCCCGAAUGUGCUUGGCCA
ensembl:lncRNA